CGCGCAGGCGGUCGUAUAAGUCGAAUGUGAAAGCCCCCGGCUCAACUGGGGAGGGUCAUUCGAUACUGUUCGACUGGAAGGCAGGAGAGGGAAGCGGAAUUCCCGGUGUAGUGGUGAAAUGCGUAGAUAUCGGGAGGAACACCAGUGGCGAAGGCGGCUUCCUGGCCUGUUCUUGACGCUGAGGCGCGAAAGCUAGGGGAGCAAACGGGAUUAGAUACCCCGGUAGUCCUAGCCGUAAACGAUGGACACUAGGUGUUGGCGGUAUCAACCCCGCCAGUGCCGAAGCUAACGCAUUAAGUGUCCCGCCUGGGGAGUACGGCCGCAAGGCUAAA
rnacentral:rRNA from 1 species